rnacentral:lncRNA from 1 species
CUGUCUCUUCAAAGCCAGUGGCACUCAUUCUCUGGUCUGUUGUGGGGUCUGAACGGGGUGGAGAGUCUGGCGAGUUGAGGCAGGUCUGAAUCAGUGCCUUGCCGGUCUCACUGGUGAUCAUGGGCUGCAGUUUUCGGGUGGCAAAGGUAUACACAUGGCCUGUCUCACUGGCCACCAGCAACAGCACCUGUGUCCCUGUCAGCGUGGACAGCUCAUAG